GGGAGGUCGGCUUCGGACAUGCGCCUCGCCAACCCGGUCAGGGCCGGAAGGCAGCAGCCGCAACGAGUUUCCGUAUGGGUCGUUGUCCGGCCUCCCACC
rnacentral:SRP_RNA from 1 species